AGUAAAAGUCGUAACAAGGUUUCCGUAGGUGAACCUGCGGAAGGAUCAUUAUCGUAGGGCUUCGGCCCUGUCGAGAUAGAACCCUUGCCUUUUUGAGUACCUUUCGUUUCCUCGGCAGCCUCGGCUGCCAAUGGGGACCCCAAAAAACACUUUGCAGUACCUGUAACAGUCUGAACAAACAAACAAAAAUUAAAACUUUCAACAACGGAUCUCUUGGUUCUGGCAUCGAUGAAGAACGCAGCGAAAUGCGAUAAGUAGUGUGAAUUGCAGAAUUCAGUGAAUCAUCGAAUCUUUGAACGCACAUUGCGCCCUUUGGUAUUCCUUAGGGCAUGCCUGUUCGAGCGUCAUUUAAACCUUCAGGCUCAGCUUGGUGUUGGGCGACUGUCCGCCGCCUCCGGGCGCGUGGACUCGCCUCAAAAUCAUUGGCGGCCGGUACAUUGGCUUCGAGCGCAGCAGAAACGCGAACUCGGGCCCGUCGUAUUGGCUCCCAGAAGCUGUCUUCACAAUUUUGACCUCGGAUCAGGUAGGGAUACCCGCUGAACUUAAGCAUAUCAAUAAGCGGAGGA
rnacentral:rRNA from 1 species